rnacentral:lncRNA from 1 species
AUAAUAUAAAAUUGAGAAUGGAAAUGGGGAAUGUGUCAAAGAGACAACAACCCGACCAAAUGAAAAACAACAGCAGAGGGUCACCAACAGGUCUUCAAUGUAGCAAGAAAUUCCCGCACCCGGAGGCGUCCUUCAGCUGGCCCCUAAACAAAUAUAUACUAGUCCAGUGAUAAUAAACGCCAUACUAAUUUCCAAAUUGUACACAAGAAACUAAAAUUAAAAUAAUACAAGACUAACAAAGGCC